rnacentral:rRNA from 1 species
GUCCACGCCCUAAACGAUGUCAACUAGGUGUUGGGUGGGUAAAACCAUUUAGUACCGGAGCUAACGCGUGAAGUUGACCGCCUGGGGAGUACGGCCGCAAGGUUAAAACUCAAAGGAAUUGACGGGGACCCGCACAAGCGGUGGAUGAUGUGGAUUAAUUCGAUGCAACGCGAAAAACCUUACCUACCCUUGACAUGUCCAGGAGCCCUUAGAGAUUUGGGUGUGCCCGAAAGGGAACUGGAACACAGGUGCUGCAUGGCUGUCGU